rnacentral:ncRNA from 1 species
UUGACUGGGGCGGUACACCUGUCAAACAGUAAUGCAGUUGUCCUAAGGCGAGCUCAGGGAGGACAGAAACCUCCCGUGGAACAGAAGGGCAAAAGCUUGCUUGAUCCUGAUUUUCAGUACGAAUACAGACCGUGAAAGCGGGGCCUCACGAUCCUUCUGACCUUUGGGGUUUUAAGCAGAAG